rnacentral:rRNA from 1 species
AGCAGCCGCCACGGUAAUACAGAGGAUGCAAGCGUUAUCCGGAAUUAUUGGGCGUAAAGGGCUCGCAGGCGGUUUCUUAAGUCUGAUGUGAAAGCCCCCGGCUCAACCGGGGAGGGUCAUUGGAAACUGGGAAACUUGAGUGCAGAAGAGGAGAGUGGAAUUCCACGUGUAGCGGUGAAAUGCGUAGAGAUGUGGAGGAACACCAGUGGCGAAGGCGACUCUCUGGUCUGUAACUGACGCUGAGGAGCGAAAGCGUGGGGAGCGAACAGGAUUAGAUACCCGUGUAGUCCCUGUCUCUUAUAC